rnacentral:rRNA from 1 species
AGCUCCUUCGGGAGUGAGUAGAGUGGCGGACGGGUGAGUAACACGUGGAUAAUCUACCUUCAGGUUUGGGAUAACUCCGGGAAACCGAAGCUAAUACCGGAUAAGACCACAGCAUCUGCGGAUGCAGGGGUAAAAGGUGGCUAGUUUACUAGCUAUCACCUGGAGAUGAGUUCACGCCCCAUCAGGUAGUUGGUAAGGUAACUGCUUACCAAGCCUUAGACGGGUAGCCGGCCUUAGCGGGUGGUCGGCCACACGGGGACUGAGACACGGCCCCGACUCCUACGGGAGGCAGCAGUGGGGAAUCUUGGGCAAUGGGCGCAAGCCUGACCCAGCGAUGCCGCGUAAGGGACGAAGGCCUUCGGGUCGUAAACCUUUGUCAGAAGGGAAGAUGGGUCUGUUAGUUAAUACCUGACAGACUUGACGGUACCUUCAGAGGAAGCCCCGGCUAACUCCGUGCCAGCAGCCGCGGUAAUACGGAGGGGGCAAGCGUUGCUCGGAAUUACUGGGCGUAAAGGGUCCGUAGGCGGUUUUGCAAGUUGGAUGUGAAAGCUCAAGGCUCAACCUUGGAAUUGCAUCCAAAACUGCAUUACUUGAGUCCAAGAGAGGUUGGCGGAAUUCCCGGUGUAGCGGUGAAAUGCGUAGAUAUCGGGAGGAACACCAGUGGCGAAAGGCGGCCAACUGGCUUGGUACUGACGCUGAGGUACGAAAAGCGUGGGGAGCGAACCGGGUUAGAUACCCGGGGUAGUCCACGCCCUUAACGCUGGAUGCUAGGUGUGGGGGUUUUAACCUCCUUGCCGAAGUUAACGCAUUAAGCAUCCCCGCCUGGGGGACUACGGUCGCAGGGCUGAAACUCAAAGGGAUU